GAGGUUAAGCGACUAAGCGUACACGGUGGAUGCCCUGGCAGUCAGAGGCGAUGAAGGGCGUACUAAUCUGCGAUAAGCGCCGGUAAGGUGAUAUGAACCGUUAUAACCGGCGAUACCCGAAUGGGGAAACCCAGUGUGAUUCGUCACACUAUCAUUAACUGAAUCCAUAGGUUAAUGAGGCGAACCGGGGGAACUGAAACAUCUAAGUACCCCGAGGAAAAGAAAUCAACCGAGAUUCCCCCAGUAGCGGCGAGCGAACGGGGAGGAGCCCAGAGCCUGAAUCAGCAUGUGUGUUAGUGGAAGCGUCUGGAAAGGCGCGCGAUACAGGGUGACAGCCCCGUACACAAAAGCGCAUGUGCUGUGAGCUCGAUGAGUAGGGCGGGACACGUGGUAUCCUGUCUGAAUAUGGGGGGACCAUCCUCCAAGGCUAAAUACUCCUGACUGACCGAUAGUGAACCAGUACCGUGAGGGAAAGGCGAAAAGAACCCCGGCGAGGGGAGUGAAAAAGAACCUGAAACCGUGUACGUACAAGCAGUGGGAGCACCCUUUGGGUGUGACUGCGUACCUUUUGUAUAAUGGGUCAGCGACUUAUAUUCUGUAGCAAGGUUAACCGAAUAGGGGAGCCGGAGGGAAACCGAGUCUUAACCGGGCGUUAAGUUGCAGGGUAUAGACCCGAAACCCGGUGAUCUAGCCAUGGGCAGGUUGAAGGUUGGGUAACACUAACUGGAGGACCGAACCGACUAAUGUUGAAAAAUUAGCGGAUGACCUGUGGCUGGGGGUGAAAGGCCAAUCAAACCGGGAGAUAGCUGGUUCUCCCCGAAAGCUAUUUAGGUAGCGCCUCGUGAAUUCAUCUCCGGGGGUAGAGCACUGUUUCGGCUAGGGGGCCAUCCCGGCUUACCAACCCGAUGCAAACUGCGAAUACCGGAGAAUGUUAUCACGGGAGACACACGGCGGGUGCUAACGUCCGUCGUGAAGAGGGAAACAACCCAGACCGCCAGCUAAGGUCCCAAAGUCAUGGUUAAGUGGGAAACGAUGUGGGAAGGCCCAGACAGCCAGGAUGUUGGCUUAGAAGCAGCCAUCAUUUAAAGAAAGCGUAAUAGCUCACUGGUCGAGUCGGCCUGCGCGGAAGAUGUAACGGGGCUAAACCAUGCACCGAAGCUGCGGCAGCGACACUGUGUGUUGUUGGGUAGGGGAGCGUUCUGUAAGCCUGUGAAGGUGUGUCGUGAGGC
rnacentral:rRNA from 1 species